CGCACGGGUGAGUAACACGUAUCCAACCUGCCGUCUACUCUUGGACAGCCUUUCUGAAAGGAAGAUUAAUACAAGAUGGCAUCAUGAGUUCACAUGUUCACAUGAUUAAAAGGUAUUCCGGUAGACGAUGGGGAUGCGUUCCAUUAGAUAGUAGGCGGGGUAACGGCCCACCUAGUCUUCGAUGGAUAGGGGUUCUGAGAGGAAGGUCCCCCACAUUGGAACUGAGACACGGUCCAA
rnacentral:rRNA from 1 species